GAAAACGGGAGGGUGGGGGCGGCGGUAGUGAGGUGGGGUUUAGCGUGGUGCGGAAUUUGUUGGCGUAAAGCGGACUGAGGCGGCUUUGUAAGUGAGAGGUGAAAGCCCGGGGAUCAACGCCGGAAGUGCCUUUAAGACUGCAUGGCGAGAAUUGUGGAGAGGUAAGGGUAAUUCCGAGUGUAGAGGUGAAAUUCGUAGAUAGUCGGAAGAACACCAGGGGCGAAGGCGACUUACUGGACACAUAUUGACGCUGAGGUGCGAAAGCGUGGGGAGCAAACAGGAUUAGAUACCCUAGUAGUC
rnacentral:rRNA from 1 species